CCUACGUUCGUCGGCCUCGUCAAAGUUCUUCGUUUCAAAGCAUUUGCACCUGCGAGCCCUCGGCCGAGGCUCUGGGUGCGUUUGUGCGCGUGUAUUCGAAGGCGCGUGGUAGUGAUGGCGGCGCUCAGUGAGACUUUCCUGUCACUGGAUACUACUACUCCCAACCUUCCUCAAAGCUGCUGGAGCAACCCCCAGGUCUUUAGUUUACAAGUGGCAAUUUGACUUGCUCUGCUGCAUGUCUGGAGGGACCAAGGAAAGUGUGGAGACGCUCCAGGGAUUAGGUGAUCGCAGCUUGAAAAGAAAAAAAGCCAAACAAAUAAACAAAACCCACCCACCCUAACAAAUAUGAGGCUGCUGGAGAGAAUGAGGAAAGACUGGUUCAUGAUCGGAAUAGUGUUGGCGAUCGCCGGAGCUAAACUGGAGCCGUCCAUAGGGGUAAAUGGGGGACCAUUGAAGCCAGAAAUAACUGUAUCCUACAUUGCUGUUGCAACAAUAUUCUUUAACAGUGGACUAUCAUUGAAAACAGAGGAGCUGACCAGUGCUUUGGUGCAUUUAAAACUGCAUCUUUUUAUUCAGAUCUUCACACUUGCAUUCUUCCCAGCAACAAUAUGGCUUUUUCUUCAGCUUUUAUCAAUCACACCCAUCAAUGAAUGGCUUUUAAAAGGUUUGCAGACAGUAGGUUGCAUGCCUCCGCCUGUGUCUUCUGCAGUGAUUUUAACCAAGGCAGUUGGUGGAAAUGAGGACCCUCCUUGCCUGGUGUCAUUUCUUGAGCUCUCCUGGGAGGAGAUUAGUCUAAAACAACAAAGUAGCCAGAUGUCUGGUUCUGAGACAGUCCCAGAGGCCAGGCUACGGUAGGCAACAGAAAUCGCGUGGGGCUGAAGAUCAAAGAUACCUGAGAAUUACUUAUGGGCACAUAGUAUGUGUCAUUCCCAUUAUUAACAGUCUGAGAAAAUUUGUUUCCCUAAUUAACCCUUUUGUUGGAAUAACCUUAAAUUUUAGUGAGUAUAUUUCAGUUUUGAUAUGUUUUCUUUUGUGUAGUGUUAAGUACACACACCAAAAAAGAGAAAUGAAAAGGAACUCUCAUGCCUGAUUGAAAUCUCUAAGCCAUUAUUUUUAUCCCAAAUAUAUACGCUAUCAAGUGUCUUAUCAUUUAUCACGAAAUAAAUGGGCAUUACAAUUCUAAGUAAAAUUACAAAUCAAUAGUUAGGAACUAUAUGGUUUAUAUGUACAAAAAGCUGUUCUUAAAUUCCUACUCCUAAUCCUUUAAGCACAAUUAUUUCAACUUUUAACUGUUUUAGAGUGGUGAAUUUUAGAUCAUAGCUUCCUGCUCUUAAAAUGAAUUCAGAAUAAAUCCCAGUGGUGGGAAAUCUGUAUCUUAUUAAUAGUUGACCUCUUUCUUUUCACAUUGGUAUUAUUAAUGAAAUGCUAAUUAAAAAUUCUUGUUGUCCUUUACCUGUUUGCUUUUACAAUAUAAUCUUGCAUUACUUAGACAUAUACAAAAUUGGAAAAUACAAAUGCAUUUGCUGUUUUAGGUUAUUCUUAAUUCUAGAAACUCUAAAUGCUUUCAGCUGAAUUUAUCUAAGGAAUAGGCAAAAAUCCAAUUAUAACAUGAUUUUUUAGCCUCUGGAUGAGAGUGUUAGAAAACAAAAGAUUUUGGUUGACUUUGCUACCUGUUUUUCUUUCUGUUUAACAUUAUCAUGUAACAACAAAAGUAUGUAAAAGCCUCAUUCUUGCUUUUCCUGAGAUGUAAUCAUAAACCAUUGUUAUCAAGAUCACGAUUAGUCAGCUUUAGAGCUUUUAAGUGCUACAACACAUUCUUUAGCAUCUAGUAAUAUAAACUUGACAUAAAAGCUGUAAAAAUGUCUUUAAAUCUAAUUGGAGAUAUGUGUUAGCAAUUUAGUGCAGAGAUUUCAUAUUCUUUGUGUAGUGGUCAAGUCUUCUUUUAAUUCCUUGAGGAAAAUGAAGCUCCUAGGAUCAGUUUAUAAGGAUUAAUUGAUUUAUAUCUUUGUUUCUAGAUUUAAGUAUUGAAGCAAGAAUAAAACAGGCUUUUGUACAAAGAACUAGAGAAACAACUGUAUUUUUUUUUUUCAGAGCAGAAUUUGUUCCUUCAGUGACAAAGGAUGGUCUGUGUUUUUCACUCUUUACACCUGUGUUUCUGCUACUGGCUUCUCCCAUAGUGAGCAGCAUUUGCUAUCACUCAAGCAGUCUAGUUAACUGUCUUUCUGUUUUGAAUGCAAAUUGAGUCAGUGAUGGUCAUUUUACCAUAAAUAUUCCUGAGCCCUAAGAAAUGGAUUACUUUAAGCAAGUAGUAUAAGAGAAAACCAUAAUUCUCUCAAUUCCUUUAAGUUAUUUUUAUAGCAAUAUUUGAUAUGAGACAAUGCAAGUCAUAGUUCUAGAACUAAAGUCCAAAAGAAAGGAGAUCCAGCUUCCCAAUGGACUAUGGCUCAAGGUGCUGUUCGUGUUUCUCCUCUUCAGAAGUUGCCAAUAUUGCUGACCACUUAUUCUUAAUGUAUUUAUUUUGAAUUGCCUCAUUGGCCAUUGGUGCCCUGCCCCUUGCCUCCGCCUUAUUUACCUUAUGGACCGUCACUGCACGUAUCGUCUCUUUGUGUGGCAUGUCUUCCACAACACUGUGCAGAGAAGUGUUUAGUUGUCCUUUAAAGAAUGCUGUUCUCGUGAUCGUGAAGAAGCCUCAUGAGAUCUUACAGUUUUAUAAAGGGGAGGUCCACUGCACAUUCUCUCCUAUCUGCCGCCAUGUAAGACAAGCCUUUUGCCUUCCAUCAUGAUUGUGAGGCUUCCCCAGCUAUAUGGAACUGUGAAUCCACUAAACUUCGUUUUCUCUAGAAAUUGGAAAAUAAAAGGUAUUAUCAAAUUUAAGGAGGUAAAGAGUGUUCAUUUUCUAGUUGCUUCUUUACUUACUCACUCUACCUUCCUCGUUCAUAGAUUUCUUUUUGCAUUGCCUCCUCCUCUACCUUCUGUUAUUUUUUUUUCUUCAUUUUUUUAAAGUCGUAAUUCUGUUUCUUUAUCCUGUCUGUAGCUUUUCAGGAAGGGUUCUGAUGUUAAAUUAGAGAUAAAUUGUAAACGCAGGCAAUUAAGAACUCUUUCUAAAAACACCUUUAGUAACUUAAUGCAUAAUGAUUUAGUACUUGCAUGGGUGUUGAAAUAGUAAUCUGUAAUCUUUUUGUCAUAAAACUAUGUGCUUGCAAUAUAAAUUCAGUUGGCUUUGUUAAAAUGUGAAGUUUUAAUAUGUGUUUUAGUUUCUCUUAAUUUUAAAAGCUGUGUAUACAAUCAUAAAAUUUUCUUUUUAGUUCGUGAUCGCUUGAAAGGUUUUUUGAAGUAUUUAUUUACUUUUUUACUUGUUUGAUCAGUAUCUCUUAUUUUCAUUUAAAGUUAUAUUUAUUCUCAUCUGAGAUUUGGAAUAAUAGCUUUGAAACAUCUGUUACUGUUUAGAAUGGUGGUCUUUUGACUAAGUUGUCCAAGAGGCUAGGGUUGCAAAGUGGUAAGAUUAGAUCUUGGCAAAUGGGAGUGUCCUUUAUUCAGCGCAUAGCAUGUUGCUCAAGGGGGCAGUCGUGGAAGGCAAGGAUGUUUGGGGAACAAAAAUGAUCAGUCCUUGAAUCCUUGUGACUUCUAACUCUAUUGCUAAAAUAAAGAUCAACAUUUUAAAAAGCUGUAAUAGAACAUUAAGUAUUGCCAUUGAUUGUAUUCAAUAUGAGUGGUUGAGAGGAAACAUUUUAAGUGGAUUAUUUUUCUUUUGUUCAAGUAAGAUUUACAUGAGUAAAUAUGAAAUGAAACUACGGCUGAUAGAUAAUCAGAUACCUAAGAAUAAUGUUUGAGAAGCUGGGUUUCCUGACGAUAGGAGGCUCAGUUAUUUUAGCCUGGGGAUUUUGCCUGGGGAAAAAUCUAUGUGCCUCAACAGCUGAAGGGCUAUUCAGGAAGAAACAAAGUAAAAUGGCAUCUAUUUUAACAUGUAAUUUCGAUAUCUCAUACUUAAUCUUAUCCUUGGCAGAAAUGUCAAAAAAUGCUAGCUGCAAACCAUCUCUGAAGCCAUAUCUAUACCACCAGAUUGAACCGGGUAGAUAAAGUUCUUAGGAAUCAAAUGGUUUUCAUUGGAAGAGGAAAGUCCUUUUAGGUAAUUCUCUGGAGGGAAGGGAAUGCUCUAGGGAUUCGGUAUAAUCCGAAUGUAGAUGUGGCUUAUUUCAAAUAUAGGAAUGUGCAGGCUAAAGAAAUUGCUGGCGGGAGUUGGGGGCACAUUUAAAAAUUAGUAUAUCACACUUAAAUGUGUUUCCUUCACAUGAUUUUCUAUUUGUAUUUACUCUCACUUAAAAUUUUAAAUAAUAUUUUCUUCACUUAUCUUUACUUUUAUAAAUUUUAUAAGUUUUAUAAAUUUUAAGCUUAUCCAAAGUUGAAUUGCUAAUGCUGGAAAUCAUACUACAGUUCUGUCCUUAUUGCCUUCUUUACCACCCUUUAGGGACCAAAUUAUUCUAGCUGCAUAAGUUGCUAUUUAAGGUAAAAUCAAGUUCUUAGAGAUGGCAUAACUAGAUUUCUAUUUUAUAUACAUGCUUUUCUUUUGUUUACCCUAGAGUGGAAAUGUACCUCUUUAAGGAAUUAAAGUGGUAAAGUCUGGCCACUAUUUAUCCUGUCACCACAUGGCUGCCGUUGAUUGUUUUUUAAUCAAAAAUCAAGUUUCUAUACUUAAUGACUUGGAAGAUGCAUUACAUUUUGUCAAAACAUAAGAAUGCUUGAAGAAUAAAGAGCCCCUAGAAUCCCCAAAAGAUCAAGAAGGAGAUGUGUAUAAUUUUGUUGUUUAACACAUAUAUAAGCAUUAAUAUUUAUAAUGGAGUUUAGUAUUUUGUAUUUACACUUCCAUCAACAAUAUAUUGUAGUGUAUUGUUUAGAGACUAUUAAAUAGCUCAGGAUUUACUUACAGAAGAAAAAAUUCUUCUAGUUUUUUUUUUCUCUUUUAUUUGACUUUUCCUCAGGUUGUUUAAUAAAGAGCAAAUUUCUUCAAUAUGAGGAAGAUAUUUACUUUAUAUAAAACUCUGUCUGGUAUGUAUGGAAGUAAUCCAAAGAACUGACAAGUUGCAGAAUGGUCACUGUCACCUGUUUAAUAUGUUGCAAAAACUGUUAAGGUAACGGAGAUAACUGUGUGAGUGAAAAUUAGUGCCAUAGCCUUUGAUACUUAAUUUUUGCUUAAUUAUUAGAAUGUAUAUAAAGUAUAUCAGGUUGGUUGCUGUAAAUAAUGGUGUUGGUUCCUUAACAUUUAAAAUUCAUAGAACUGUUAGAUAAAUGUACUUUUGUUUGACCACAGGAUCCAUUUUUUAUUAAAAUGCCCAUAAAAAAAUGUAACAUUUCUAGAAACUCAUUUUUUUUAAAUGAUCAGCACAAAAUCAUCAGUACAAAAUGUUUCCCUAGCCAAAUUGGUAGUCUCAUGCUCUUUUAAAUAGCAUUAUUUAGAAUAGUUUUAAAACCACUUUUUCCCAUUAAAUUAAAUGUCAAAUUACGUGCCUUCUUUGGAACCUUUUUAAGGGGAAACUUCAAGGAAUGAGACUAUGUUUAAUUCACUGAAAUGAAUUAUGAUUUCAAACAUCUGUUAAGGUAUUUUAAAGAUGAUCUUAUGUAACGUGAUAAAUAGACAUUUUUAAUGGAAUAUACCCUUCAGCUUUUCCUUACUUGAUAUAUGUUGUAGCUUGGAAAGAAAAUCACACAUAGAUAAAAACAUUCUAGGAAUUAAGCAGCCUUAAAAUAAAACAUAUGUGUUAUACAUGCAAACAGUAAAAAGCAUGUCAGUGGGUCAGCCUUUUUUUUUUUUAAGAAAAACUAUCUUCAAUAAUCAUUUGAGAUUAAAAAAGAUAAUUUUGAAGUAUCUUUUUUGAUUUUACUGUCAGCCAGUUGUAGUAAUCUGUCCACAUAUUUUGCUCAUUGGAAUCAGUGUGCACAAAGGCUUACACUUUAUAGGAACCUUAGGAAGUGCUUGGAUUAGACUUAAAAACCACAUUUAAAGGAGACAUUGGUAUAGGAAUCCCCUCACUUUUAUCCCCGUGAGGAAAUAGUGAUGGCUGCCAUUUAGGGCUUCCUCACACUUCUAGUCCUCUAUAUUGACUGAGGAAUCUUUAGACAACUGGUGACCAAAUGGUUAGCUUUUUACCAACUUGGGCUUUUAUAUUUGAAAUUCACAUUUAGUCUCAUUCCUACCUACUGCUGCAGAAUGGCCUUUAGACAACUAGACUUAAAAAAGUUAAAAGGCAAUAAGUUAAUACCCUGGAAACGAUGCAGAAAUGUAUAUUCAAAUCAUAAAUAAGGAAAUGCAUUGAGUACAUUAAACAGACAUCGAAAAAUGGAUUUCUGUCUUUUGUAGUAAGGUAAUUGGGCACCACUGCUUGGCAGGAGCUGGUGCUAUUGAGCUAGCUCUAGCUGCCACAGGUUGAUAGGCAGGUGAUAAGGCAGCUUCCACCAGGGUCUGCACAGGAGGCCUACCUAAUAUGCUGUCUGCCCUAAGGGCCUAUGGGAACACAGUUGGAUUAUUAUGUUAAUGCAUGAGCCCGCUGCCCUCUUCCUAUCCCAGCUGGGUUCCCUGUUGUUAGGAACUGCUUUGCACUGACAGUGGAGUAAUAUGCUUCAUGAUUGAAAGGGCAAAGGGGCUUGAAAGAAAAAAAAAAAAAAGAAUAAGCCUGCACAGAUAUGUAAAUGAGGGAAGGAAAUCUGUAGGAAGAUUUCACUCUAAGUAUAUAGAGAAAGUUUAUUAGAAAGUUCUUCUUACAGCACUCUGUAAAACCACUCAUUUCUUAAUUAAUUUCUGGGUUUGCUUUCCUUCCUAACACUGUAUGUAUGCCGUACAUGGAAGUAUUUUUCUAAACAGGCACUUAACUUGAUUUGUUUUAAGCUAAGAUGCUCUAACACAUUUGUACCCAGGUAUAGUGCUGACAGCAGUGCAUUUUUUUUGCAUGUUCAUUAUUCUUUAAUGUUUGUUCCACAGUUAUUUCACUAUAUUGAAUAGAAGAGUUUAUUUUUAAGAUGCUGAAGGAUUUAUAUUUUAUAUUAAGAUGUCACUUUUAUUUCUCUUUAUUUUUGAUAUAAGUUUGGAAAACUGCAUGAGCUAUCUUUUGGGAGUGGGUGGGUAUGGAGGACAGGAAAUGGUUGGGUGGGUCAGAGGGAUAUUUUCUUGAGUUGAUGAAUUUGAUAUGAGUGGUGGUUCAAACAUUUUAUGUUUAGUUAAGAUUUUUAAUGUUGACACCUUAACAUAGUGAAAAGAGUGUGGGCUAUAUUUUAAAUACAUCUUAUGUUUUUUAGCAGCACAGCAUCUAUUGCAUGAAGUGAUAUGGGUAAAGAUGAGGUAUGCACAGUGGCUGGCACACAUAGAGGGAUUGAGAAGUGGUAGUCGUUGUUAGUGCUAGUGUUGAAUUUCCCAUAUCAACAUACCUGCCUGCAUUAGGCAUGCUUUGUAGAUCUGCAAAGAAUUUCAGAGUCAGCAAAUGCAGAAAGUUUGGGGCUCAUUAUAGGCUCCAUAGUUGAGUAGUAUGGUGAUCAUAUAUCUGGUGAAAAAGAAUUCACAUGAUUACUUUAAUGAAAAAUAUAAAUAUAUAAACAUAACUUUAACACUCUAGUAAAAACUUCGUUCAAGUUUGAGGUAAGUACCUUGUGAUAUAUCAGAAAAGAGACUUCUUUCUGAAAAGGUAAUUGUGCAUUUGACUUUAAAUAUUAAGAAUAAAGAGGGAAGGAACCAAUUCUAUCUGAGCAGUCCUUCUUUAUAGUUGUAGCAAAAUCCUUUUAUAGCAUGUCUUUAUAUUACCCAUUUAGUUAUGUAUACAUGGAGUAUGGGUAUGGCAUAUGUAUAUAUACAUAUGUAUAUUUACAUGUGUGUAUAAUGUGUGUAUCUGUAUCUCAGAAUCAGUACACUUAGGGAUAUUUCUUUUUCUUUUUUAAAAAAUUUAUUUAUUAUACUUUAUGUUCUAGGGCACAUGUGCAGAUCGUGCCAGUUUGUUUCAUAGGUAUACACGUGCCAUGGUGGUGCUUUGCUGCAUCCAUCAUCCCAUCAUCUACACUAGAUAUUUCUCCUAAUGCUAUCCCUCCCCAAUCCCUUGGCCCCCUGCUAUUCCUCCCCUAGCAACCCACCUCCCAGGCCCUUAUGUGUGAUAUUCCCCUAUCUGGUGUCUGUAUGUUCUCAUUGUUUAACACUCACUUUUGAGUGAGAACAUGCAGUGUUUGGUUUUCUGUUCUUGUGUUGGUUUGCUGAGAAUGAUGGUUUCCAGAUUCAUCCAUGUUCCUGAAAAGGACAUAAAAUCAUCCUUUUUUAUGGCUGCAUAGUAUUCCAUGGUAUAUAUAUGCCACAUUUUCUUCAUCCAGUCUGUCAUUGAUAGACAUUUGGGUUGGUUCCAAGUCUUUGCUAUUGUGAACAGUGCUGCAGUAAACAUACAUGUGUGUGUGUCUUUAUAAUAGAAUGAUUUAUAACCCAUUGGGUAUGUACCUAGUAAUGGGAUUGCUGGAUCAAAUGGUAUUUCUAUUUCUAGAUCCUGGAGAAAUCGCCAUACUGUCUUCCACAAUGAUUGAAUUAAUUUACAAUCCCACCACUAGUGUAAAAGCAUUCCUAUUUCUCCACAUCUUCUCCAGCAUCUGUUGUCUCCUGAUUUUUUUUUUUUUUGAGACGGAGUUUCGCUCUUGUUACCCAGGCUGGAGUGCAAUGGCGCGAUCUCAGCUCACCGCAACCUCUGCCUCCUGAGUUCAGGCAAUUCUCCUGGCUCAGCCUCCUGAGUAGCUGGGAUUACAGGCACACGCCACUGUGCCCAGCUAAUUUUUUGUAUCUUUAGUAGAGAUUGGGUUUCACCAUGUUUACCAGGAUGGUCUCGAUCUCUUGACCUUGUGAUCCACCCGCCUCGGCCUCCCAAAGUGCUGGGAUUACAGGCGUGAGCCACCACGCCUGGCCUGUCUCCUGAUUUUUUAAUGAUUGCCAUUCUAACUGGAGUGAGGUGGUAUCUUGAUAUGGUUUUGAUUUGCAUUUCUUUAAUGACCAGUGAUGAGCUUUUUUUCAUGUGUUUGUUGGCUGCAUAGAUGUCUUUCUUUGAGAAGUGUCUGUUCACAUCCUUUGCCCAUUUUUUGAUGGGGUUGUUUGUUUUUUUCUUGUAAAUUUAAGUUCUCUAUAGAUUCUGAAUAUUACCCCUUUGUCAGAUGGGUAGAUUGCAAAAAUUUUUUCCCAUUCUGUUGGUUGCUGGUUCACUCUACUGAUUGUUUCUUUAGCUGUGAAAAAGCUCUUAAGUUUAAUUAGAUCCCAUUUGUCUAUUUUGGCUUUUGUUGCCAUUGCUUUUAGUGUUUUAGUCAUGAUGUCCUUGCCCAUGCCUAUGUGCUGAAUGGUAUUGCCUAGGUUUUCUUCUAUAGCUUUUAUGGUGUUAGGCCUCAUGUUUAAAUCUUUAAUUCAUCUUGAGUUAAUUUUUGUAUAAGGUUUAAGGAAGGGAUCCAGUUUCAGCUUUCUUCAUAUGACUAGCCAGUUUUCCCAACAGCAUUUAUUAAAUAGGGAAUCCUUUCCCCAUUGCUUGUUUUUGUCAGGUUUGUCAAACAUCAGCUGGUUGUAGUAUUUCGAAAGGAGUUCUAAUUGAGCACAUUCUUUAAAAGUGGCAUUUAAAACAAUGUCUUAAGUUUGAACAAUAGUUGUUAAGUUGUUAAGACUUUGAAGAAAAGACAUUAAAGGAAGCACUAAGCCCAUGAGAUAGGAGAGAAAAGUCAAAGAAUAGUAACUUUUUUGUGUCCUCCUUCUCCAACCAAGUAAUAGUGCAAGCUCUGUAUACUGCCUGUGUUCAGAACAUACUUAGACAUCUACCCCAAACGUAUCCAUUCCACACUGCAUAGUUGUAUAUCUGCCUCAAACAUAGCCCAUCGUGGAAUAAAUAAUAAAUUCUGUUUUAAAGGAAGUCUGAUUUUAAAGGAAUGUCUUUGUUUUCUUUUUAAGUUGCUUUGGGCUGGGUGCAGUGAUUCAUGUCUGUAAUCCCAGCAUUUGGGUGGUGGCUGUGGUGGGAGGAUUACUUGGAUUAAAGACUAGCCUGGGCAAGAUAGUGAUACCUCAUCUCUACAAAAAUAUUAAAAAAAUAGCUGGGUGUGGUAGCAUGCACCUGUGGUCCCAACUACUCGGGAAGCUGAAGUGGGAGGAUUGCUUGAGCCUGGAAGGUGGAGGCUGCAGUGAGCCAUGAUUACACUACUGCACUAGAGCCUGGGUGACAGGGCAAGACCUAAUAAUGCAUAAAUGAAUAAGCUUUGGGUUUGACAUAUGCUAAUACUCCUUUAUAGGUUGAAAUGUUCUUGAGGACAGUGAUCAUAUCUUACAUUCAGAAAAUAUUUCUCUGUUUUUUAUACACAGUAGUUGUUUAUCAAAUGUCUGUUCACUGAAUAGUUGGGUUGAUUUCGAUGAUAGUAGGCAAAUUCAAGUAAAAGUAUUCUAACUCCAUGGAUCCUAGUGUCCCUUGUUUUCUCUUACUUCUCCUUAGUUCUCCUUUCAAGGAAGCAUUUCUGGUGUGCCCUUUGGCAUCUUCAUGCAACUGCUCACUGAGUUAAAUUUCCAGUCUCUCUGACACCAGUGAUAGUUUCUGCCUCUCCUGACCACUUUCCUGCCUUCACCAACCUUUUGUGCCUCUUUAUAUCAUCCGCAUGUUAUCAUUUUAUGAGCACAAGAAAGGCCAGAGUUGGAGAAAUGAUGACUGGGUUAGAGGAUAUUGGCAUAGGAAAAAUGCCAAGAUCUUGCCAGGGUGGUUUGUUUGUACCCUCCUAGAAGCCAUUACCUUCUCCAGUGACUGUGCGCUCCUUCUGAUUGUGCUCCCCAUUCAGCUUUGCUUUUCAGGAAACUUCAGGAGAACCCUGAAUGAUUCUUUUUAAUCCAAACUGCACUCCUAAUUAGAACUGUGAAGACCUCCAUACAGGUUUGUUUUUCCCUGAAGACCUUAAGGUACCUCCCACUCCCAACAAUGGUUAAAAAAUGUAUUUGUUGUUGAAUAUUUUCUGAAGCCUCACAAAUCUCUAAAUAUUAACAAAGAAGAACCACCUACAUAACAGGUUAUGAUUAAAAUCACAGUAAAGUAUAAAAAUUAAACACUGCCUUUUAAAAGCCUUGCUGAAUGGGUGCAGUGGCUCACGCCUGUAAUCCCUGCAUUUUGGGAUGCUGAGACUGGUGGAUCACCUGAGGUCAUGAGUUUGAGACCAAUCUGGCCAACAUGGCAAAACCCCAUCUCUACUAAAAAUAUAAAAAUUAUCCGGGCAUGUUGAUGCAUGCCUGUACUCAGCUACUUGGGAGGCUGAGGCACGAGAAUCACUUGAACCUGGGAGGCGGAGGUUGCAGUGAGCUGAGACUGAGACUGCACCACUGCACUCCAACAUGGACAACAAAGUGCUCUGUCUCAAAAAAAAAAAAAAAAAGAAAGAAAAAGAAAAAAGGGCAAAAAACAUGCUAAGGAGUACAAAAUUAUUUGUGUGUAUGUGUGUGUGUGUGUGUGUGUGUGUGUGUGUGUGUGUUUAAACCUCCUUUUUAGAGUUGACUGGAUAGGGAGCUUUAGAAACUUAGCGUUAUCUUUCUCAAAGGAAAAAGUAAUAGCUAGCUUAACUAGUCCCUGUUUUACUUGUAAUGCAUAGCAGCAAAAGUUGUGUGGACAAAUGAUUAACAGGAAACUGACACUGAAAGGGAGUGAAAGGCAGAACUUGAGUUUGGCUUAGUUUCCUUAAACAUAAACAUAGCCUGGGAGCUAACAAUCUGGUAAGUAUGUAAACAGACUCUGAAGAUGGACAGGAAAAGUUACCAAGAGGAAAGUGGGCAUAGAUUAAUAUACCAGAUCUUUACUUUAUGGUAAAUCCUGGCAUUGAUUAAGAAGAUCCUGGCUUUUAGCAAGCUCUUGGCCUCAGCAGAAAAGUCCUGAGAGCUCCAGGAAUGACACUUCUUGAAGCUAUCCAAGCUUACCACCAGAGAUAAAGUUGUUUUCUGGGGCCAUGACAAUCCUAACAGCCUGGUAGAGAGUUUAACAAUGUUAGUUAAACUUAACAUUGAAAAUGGGUGCUUGGUCGUAGGCUCCACAUAAGGUCUCACCUUUGCAGAAAUGAUACUAUCCUUUUACCAGAUGGGAGCAUGGAUUUAGGAGUCAAAUCCCAGUUUCACCACUGAUGCAUUUAAUUUAUUUCUCUCAACCACUUAAGUCUGCUGAGCCUUAUCUUUUACAUCUAUAAAAGGAAAUAAUCCGUAUAUUAUUGGGUUAUUUUGAGGAUUAAAUAAAAUAAUACUUAUUGUCUGACAUAUAGAAGAUGAUCAAUAAAUGUCAGCUUUUUUUUUUUUUUUCUGCUCAUGAAAUGCAAUUUUGAAGGCAAAGUUAAGAAAAAGAAGUUACUCAUUCCAUUAUAACUUCCUGGGUCAGAAAAACAGAUUUUUGUCUCCUGCCUUUACAGAAUUUUAUGCAUCAUCUCUCAUUUAGGACUCUGUGAGCUCCUGAUCUAGGGGGAGAAAAAUGAAAUUCAGUUUGGUUAAUAAAACAUCUUGGAAGGCAGUUUUUAAACUGCAAUGAAGCUAGGUUAAAUGGGAGCCAAGUGGGGCCAUUUCCAGGGGUUUUGGAGGUGAAGCAAUUUGUUUUUAUACUUGUAUCAGUGCUUUUACUCUUAAAUCUCAUUUCUAGUCCCUUAGGUUCUAUAAUAAAGUCUUCAGCACUAUACAUUUUUAUUAAACAUCUUCUUCUGAACUCCAAUUUGCAUUUCAGAUAAUAUAACAAAAUGUAUGUGUUUCAAAUAUUCACUGCAUAAUUGUGAUUAGAACAUGUAAUCCCUCAAAAGAUGUUAAUUGCAAUUUAAAUUCACACUGAAUUUAAUUAAGUGAGUUGGGGAUUAGAAAGUAGAUGUAAGGAGUAGUUAAGGGAAUACAUUUUUUAAAAGCAUUCACUUUUUUUUUUCUAAAACAUGUAAACCUCUUUCAACUUGAAGAUUAGAGCUAUAUAGAAAAUAUAGAAGAAAAGAAGAGAAAGCAGGUUAAAGAACAUCUUAGAAAAUUUUCAAACUAUAUUCACAGUUUGGAUUUAAGCUAUUAAAUAAUUGUGGUUAGGCAGGAGGGCUGGUUUGAACAACCUUCUCAUUUGUAUUCUUGAAGAGUCUUUCAGUACAUGUUAACUCACUUGAUGUCUGAUAAAGACUUAAGUUAAACUGAGAUAUUUAAGAACUGCAGAGAAUGACUGGGUAGGAAGCAGCCAGUGAGAUCUUUCCGUCCAAUUGUUACCUGAUGCUUCAAUCUUCCUUUUAAUCUCCUUGCCAAGGGGGUAUUUUAUGAAUAAUUUGAUGUAAUAGGAAUUUUGUGCAUGGACAAAUCAUGUUUAAUUAGUGUUUUUCUAUGAAAGCUUCACUGUUUUAAAGGAAAUAAAGAGUAACUGCAAGAAACACAGAUGUCUUUUUUUUUCUAAUGAAAUAAAGAAUCUUAAAACUUUAUAUUUAAGGUUAUAAAAAGUAUCAAGCACGUACAUCUCCCAGAGAGUGGGAGAAUAAAGUGUGCACAUUAUCUGUUGUUGAAUCAAAAAGCAGUUUUUCAAAAGGCUGCCAGAAUAACAUUGUACCUAUAAACCUUAUUUUAUUUAUAAAUUUUUCUAGGAAUAAGUUUUAUAAAAUAAGGAAUCAGGGAUCAGUUGUAAGAUGGUCUAAACAGUUUUAAAAGCAAAGUAUAUUUAUUAUUGUUAAGUAACUUUAUUGUUUUUGUGUGUGUUUAGAAGAGGAAAAAAUUAAUUCCACAAACUUGUUUUGAAUUAGUAACACCAUGAAUAUGAUGUGCACAUUUCUGGAGAGAGGAAGAGAGAAUAUGUGUUUUAAUUACACACAGUGGCUGUCUGAUACUUUGCUGGACUAUAAAUAGAUAACUUUUUAACAAAUAAAUUUCAGUCUUAAAAAAUGUUGCUCUUAGUGGAAAUAUUUCAUGUGAAAAAUCUAGUGGGAAACUCUAUCUUUGUUUAAUAAGAAAUUGAGUAUCUUGGCUGGGCAUGGUGGCUUACACCUGUAAUCCCAGCACUUUGGGAGGCCAGGACAGGCGGAUCACCUGAGGUCAGGAGUUUGAGACCAGCCUGACCAACAUGGCAAAACCAAACCUCUACUAAAUAUACAAAAAUUAGCUAGGUGUGGUGGUGGGUACCUGUAAUCUCAACUACUCAGGAGUCUGAGGCAGGGGAAUCGCUUGAACCCAGGAUGCAGAGGUUGCAGUGAGCUGAGAUCACGCCAUUGUACUCCAGCCUGGGUGACAGAAUGAGACUCCAUCUCAAAAAAAAAAGGAAAAAGAAAUUGAGUAUCUUAAAAAGAAUUAUGAAUCUGAGCUUUACAUCUGGAACAAAUUUCUUUGACUUUAUCAUUUCUAUUGUGAGUUAAAGGAAUACUUUUUUAAAAAUUGGUAAAUGAACUCGGUUUUAAGGAAGAAGAGCUCUGUUUUUAUCUAAGAUAACAUCUGUGGCUUUAAAUAUUUAAAUCCUCAUCUUUUUUAUUUGCAACCUAAAAUCAUUCUACAUAAAUAUCUUCAUUUAUUUGCAAUUUUUUCCUCCAGAAAUGACUAAUUUGAUAAUAACUGUCAUACAUUCUUUUUCUAAUAACAUAAAAUUACUGUUAUUCUCAGUGGCAUGACAUUAUUUUUCUUUUGGGUUAAGUUCACAGUAUCACAUGAAAAUAAUUUUUGGCCAAUGAUAUUUUGAGGGAAAGGCUUACUAUUCAUUCACUGUCCCAAAGUACAUUGCAUUGUGUGGCUUACACCUGUAAUCCCAGCACUUCUCUUAGUCACGUACAAUGUUCUACAAUGACUAUAUAAUAAAAUUUUAUGUUCUUGUAUGGUUUAUAAUAUUUUAAUAACUUAUUUUUUAUUAUAGAAGCAUUAUGUAUUCCUAGUGAGCAAUAUGGAAAAAUAAAUAAAAAAUACUAUAAUCUCACUGUUCCGAUAACUACAUCAAUAUUUUUAUGUGUAUCUUUUCAAACCUUUUAAUCUGCACAUAUGUUUAAUGAUAUGAGGUCAUACAAUGCAUACAAUUUUGUAACUCUGUCCAAUUAAUAUAUUAUGAACAUCUCUCCAUAGUGUUCUACAACAUUCUUUUAGAUUGUUCAUUAUUCUCAUGUAUGGAUAUAUAAUUAUUAAUUUCAGCUCUGGAUAGUUCCUUUUUUUUUUGCUAUUAGAAAAUAAUGGGGCCAGGCGUAACUCAUGCCUAUAAUCUGGGCAUUCUGGGAAGCUGAGGGGAAGGAUUGCUUGAGCCCAGGAAUUCAAGACCAGCCUGAGCAACACAGUGAGACCCCGUCUCUGCAAAUUAUAAAAAAAUUAGCCAGGCCUGGUGGCACAUACCUGUAGUUCCAGCUACUCAGGAGGCUGAGGUGGGAGAUCGUCUAAGCCGAGAAGAUCAAGACUGCAGUGAGCUGUGAUUGUGCCACUGCACACCAGCCUGGGUAAAAGAGUGAGACUUUGUCUCAAAAAGAAAAAAAAAAAAAAGAAAGAAAGAAAAAGGAAAUAGUGGUUUGCUGAAGAUCUUUUAGCUAAAUCUUUUUUUUAACCUGAAUUCUGUUUUAUUUUCUUGUGGUUUGUUGUUGUUGUCUUAAAGACAGGGUCAGGGCCGGGCGUAGUGGCUCACGCCUGUAACCCCAGCACUUUGGGAGGCCGAGGUGGGUGGAUCACGAGGUCAAGAGAUCGAGACCAUCCUGGUCAACAUGGUGAAACCCCGUCUCUACUAAAAAUAUAAAAAAUUAGCUGGGCGUGGUGGCGUGUGGCUGUAAUCCCAGCUACUCAGGAGGCUGAGGCAGGAGAAUUGCCUGAAGCCAGGAGGUGGAGGUUGCGGUGAGCCGAGAUCGCGCCAUUGCACUCCAGCCUGGGUAACAAGAGCAAAACUCCAUCUCAAAAAAAAAAAAAAAAAAAAGACAGGGUCUUGCUCUGUCACCUAGGGUGCAGUACAGUCGCAUAAUCCUAGCUCACUGCAGCCUCAGACUCAUGAGCCCAAGGAGUCCUCCUGCCUCAUCCUCCCAAGUAGCUGGGCAUACAGGCAUGUGCCACAACACCUGCUUUUUACUUUUUUGUAGAGAUGGGAUAUUGCUACGUUGCCCAGGCUGGCCUUGAACUUCUGGCCUCAAGCAAUCCUCCUGCCUCAGCCUCCCAAAGUGCUGGGAUUACAGAUGUGACUGAAUUAUUUUCUGAGAUAAAUUUUUAGAAGAGACAAUUCUGGGUCAAGGGGCAUGUAUGGACAUUUGUAAGAUACCGAUGUUUACCACACUUUCAGCAAUGUUAAUAAAGUAUGUGAAGUUAACUUUUCCCUGAACUCUCUUUAAUCAUAUGCAUUAUUAGUUUUAAAAAUCUCUGCUUAUUUAGUGUUUUUCUCCCCAUACUACUUUUUUUUCUCCUCCUAGAGCAAGUUGGUCUAUGUCAUAAACAGGAGAAGUCCACAUAAUGUUUUAUAGACAUGUGUAUUUAAUAAAUUUAAUAAAUGUUUUUAUUUCAUACUUUCGCCCCAAUUUUCAUUGCUCGCAUUUUAGAGUAAAUUCUAGAGGGCAGCAUUUUAAAAGUUGCUGUAUUUUUUUUAUUUUACUUCAAACAAAAGACGUACACGUUGUAGUUGCUCAAUGUGUUAUUUAACUGGAUCUCUAACCGUGUUAUAAAUGGUGCCUGUAGAAGGAUCUGGGGACAAGACCUUUAGGCUUUUUUUCUUUUUAAUCACAUCUUAAAGAUCUUGGAGAAUCUGAACUUAUAUAAGAAUGUUUGGGCUACUGUUAUUACAGUGAAACCUUCUGAGAGUAUCUUCACAGGUAAUUUUUUUUAGAGAAAGUCACUUACAGAUAUAAAACGUUUGACCAGGAGAAAGCCUCAGGUUGUCAGAGUUACUUACACACCAUUGUUCAGCUGGGGCCCUUUAUUAAAUCAUCUCUUGGCAGUCCAUUAGUUGUGGUGCUACAGCUAUUGCAUGGCUCACUAGGCUAAUAUACCUUCAGUCACUAACGGAAGGAUAACCUUAAUAAAAAUUUGAAGUCGAUUUAGUGCUUCACUGCUUGCUGACUAGUGUUUUACUUUUUAGUGUGUCUAUACAAUUUCCAUGCUGUGUAUUUUUGAUAUUAAUAUACAUCUUAGCUACAUAGUAUAUUAGAGUCAAAUAAAGAUUAAUGGUCUGGAGAAGGAAGGGUGUUUGGGAACUCUUCCUUGUAAUCCUGACUCAGCCGAGGUUAGACAUUGUGUGAUCUUGAGCAAGUCACUUCCCACAGUGGGCUGCUGUCUAAUCCUUAUGUAAAAUUAAGAAAUUUGGAAGAGAUUUCCUAAUAUUUAUUUCUGUACUACUUUGUUAUUUGUAGAAAAUUUAAACCACGUUCUGCCGAAUGUAGCACUUUGAAGCUUGUUUUAAACAUCAGCUAUAAUUUUACAAACAAAAAAGAAUUGCUAUGUUCUAUCCCAUAUCAAUAUUUGACAAACUAGGAUGAAGAAUAAAACAAAAGAAGAUCCACAUUAUUCAGUGAUAAGUGAUACAGGAGAAAGCUCACUUAAACUUAAUUAACUUUAAAAAAAUCAACAUUUUGUAGCAAUUACUGAAAAAUAUAUUUCUUUAGUCUUUAUUUAAAAAAAUAAAACUAAAUUAUGAAAAUAAGCUUAUUUUAUCGUUCACUUAACAAAAUUUACAUGAGAACUAUUCACUGAUUCUUGGCACGAAUGGAGAAAGAAUCAAAUGUUGCUUUUAGGGAGUGGAAGCUGAUGUAAUUUUCCUGAGAAAAUUACUUGAUGACUUGAUGUCAUAUCUUUCUCGUUCAUUUUUGUAAUAAUAAUUGUCUUCAUCAACUUUCACAGGUGCUCUUAUUUAAAAAAUAUCCUGAUCACUCCUUUUAAGCACCUAUCAUAUCUUCUUUUUUCUUCUCAUUGAGUUUGUUCUGAUUUUCAUGACUUACUUAAAUUCUGCAGGAUGGGUAGUUAGUUAUAUAGCGACUUGGUUAUGUUUUAUUUGUGAUAUAUUUACAAGGUGUUUAAAAUACUGUACAAUUAGUGAGAGUAAGCCAACCAAAGGUGGAAUGUAGAGAUAAAUAUUAUUGUGAAGUCGUUGGGGUGUGUGUACAGAAAGGGAAAAGGUUUUCCUAGGUAUGGUUUUAGAACUGGUCAGUUCAUUAGUGAGCCAUUCCCCACUGUGAUGUCUCUUGUUUCCUCGUACAACCUAGGUUCUUAAGGAACUUGGAGAAUGAAUACUUAAAUAAUGAAGGCUUACUGGGCCUUACUUUAUAUGAUAUUUUGUACCAUACCCACUGGUUUCAUGUGUGCCAUCUCAUUUAAUCCUCACAGUUUUGGUUUUUUUCUUUUGAGAUGGAGUCUUGCUCUGUCAUUAGGCAGUGGUGAGAUUUCGCUAACUGCAACUUCUGCCUCCUGGGUUCAAACAAUUAUUCUACCUCAGUCUCCCGAGUCUCUGCAGGUGCGCACCACCAUGCCCGGUUAAUUUUUGUGUUUUUAGUAGAGACAAGGUUUCAUCAUUGGGCCAGGAUGGUCUCAAUCUCUUGAUCUCAUGAUCCGCCCGCCUCAGCCUACGAAAGUGCUGGGAUUACAGGCAUGAGCCACUGUGCCCACCCUCACAAAAUUUUAUGAAGUUGGCAUUGUUUUUCUCAUUUAAUGAAAUGAAUAAAGUGAGAUGCAAUGAAUUUUCAUAGCUAAGUAUGUGACCAAGUUUUGAAAUCAGAUCUUCUGAUUCCAUUAUAAGUGCUUGUUCUAGUAUUUUAUAAAUGCCUCUGUGAUGAUUUUAAAUUAAAGUUUAUUUAACAUGAAAUCCUUAUCAUAUUUAAACAAAUGUGAAACGAGGGUAUCUUUUUUGAAUGUUAGGUAAAGUCUAGCAUCCAAAUCAUGUUACUGUUGAAAAUAAUGACUUGAAAAGACAUUUUUACAAAUCACAAGCAGAGCCCUGAAAUUUUUUCUUAGGUAGGAAGUAGUAACAGCAAU